GUUAUUCCUCUUGAUCUCAUCUUUCCAAAGAGCUGAAAUUCAUACAUUUUGGACAAGGAAUGCAUAGGCUGCGCAUAAAUAUACAUUUUAUAAAUUAAAUGAAGAUUAUGAGGAAUUAAAUGAAGAUACAUUAGUGAGGGCUUUGAUUCCAGAUCAACCAGAUCGAAUCACACUACUCAAGAACCCUAAAUAUACAUUUUAUAAAUUAAAUGAAGAUUAUGAGGAAUCAAAGUCCAAUUAGUGAGGGCUUUGAUUCCCCUAACCUUGUGCGACCUGAUGGCAAACAAUUUGGAGCAAAAUGAAUCAAGAAUUUUGACCUACCUCUGAAUAUGAAGCCUGAAGGUGAAGGCGUUCCUUGACGAAGGUUGGGCUUCGAGGAAGGUGAAAAUGAAUGAAGCAAUCGUACGAAGGUUGAACCUUCAACUUGAGCCAUGAACAUGGAGCUAAGUACUAUUUAUGUUUAAGAGUGCUUAGCUUAUGUCACAAUCCCUUUUCCUGUCAAACUAAUCCUGCAUUCUGUCAUAAAAGUAUCCCAUCUGUCAUGUUAACUUGCCUUUCUUUCCUGAUUUUGGAUGAUCAACAUUGUGAUUGUCAUGGUGGAUUUGUCUUACAGGGUCAUGAUUCCGUUGCAACAAAAUCUGCAGGUUCUGCAUUGCUAAUAUGGGCUACUUGAAAGGUCAUUAGAGUAUACAAUAUUAUCGGUAGUACUUAUUGUGCUAAUAGAUAGAAGAAUAGACUUACAAAAAAACUGGUAAGUUCCUCCAGUGGCAAAGGCCUGAAAAUUCGAAGUUUCAAUGUAUGUUGCAAAGAAAAUAUGACAUUAUGAUUGGUUAUGCCAACACAAUUUAGUAUAUGAUGUUAUCCAACUAAGAAGUCCACAAAGAUUACCUCUCCA